GACCUGCGGAAGGAUCAUUAUCAUACAAUGGAGGUGCUGGGGUUGUCGCUGACUCUUGAUUGAAAGGGUCGUGCACACCUUGGUGCUCUUACACAUAAUCCAUCUCACCCCUUUUGUGCAUCACCGCGUGGGGACCCCUUUUGGCUAGUUCUGAAGGGGGUUUUCACGUUUUUACAUAGACACCCUUUUAAUGCAAUGUGUAGAAUGUCUUACUUUUUGCGAUCACACGCAAUCAAUACAACUUUCAACAACGGAUCUCUUGGCUCUCGCAUCGAUGAAGAACGCAGCGAAAUGCGAUACGUAAUGUGAAUUGCAGAAUUCAGUGAAUCAUCGAAUCUUUGAACGCACCUUGCGCCCUUUGGCAUUCCGAAGGGCACACCCGUUUGAGUGUCGUGACAUUCUCAAAACCUUCUUGGUUUCUUGACCAGGAAGGCUUUGGACUUUGGAGGCUUUUGCUGGCCUUCCUUUGUUGAAGCCAGCUCCUCUGAAAUGAAUUAGUAGGGUCUGCUUUGCCGAUCCUUGACGUGAUAAGAUGUUUUCUACGUCUUGGAUUUUGCACUGUUCCUGCUUCUAACUGUCUCAUAGAAGACAAUGGUCAAGUGUUUGCCACUUGACCCAUGCAACAUGAC
rnacentral:sRNA from 1 species